rfam:Canis lupus familiaris chromosome 14, whole genome shotgun sequence.
UUGAGGCAAAGUUCUGAGACACUCCGACUCUGAAUAUGAUAGAAGUCAGUGCACUACAGAACUUUGUCUCUGG